GGAAGGAUCAUUAUCACGUAUCCACGUAUAAACCACUGCGAACUGUUUCCCUUUGGAGGUUCUAGGUUUGGCUUGAUCAAUCUUUCCAAUGUCGUGAUGGGAAAGCGGUCUAUGCCGUGAAAGGCACUUCGGUGUCUCUCCGCCUGAAUCUUUGAAGCGGUUAUUCAUCACGUCUCCAAUUUAACAUUAACCCCUUUAAACUUUUUGAACUGAAACUUAAGCGUGAUGUAAAGUCUACCUUCGGGUUCACUUGAUCAUGUCUUUACUUACGAAAUUACGAACAAUUCUUAACAACGGAUAUCUUGGCUCUGAUAACGAUGAAGAACGCAGCGAAAUGCGAUACGUAAUGCGAAUUGCAGAACUCAGUGAAUCAUCAAAUCUUUGAACGCAAAUGGCGCUCUCGGGAUAGGCCUGGGAGCACGCCUCUUUGAGUGUCGAUUCAAUCAAACUCAGCGACCUGCUCUUUAUUGGUGCGGGCGCAGCUGAAUAUUGAGUGUCUCACGAAAGUGGGUCACUUUAAGCGGAGCGAGUCUCCUUUUUUCUAGCACUUGUAAAGCUUCGGCUUUGCAUAGCCUAGGAUGAGUUUUGCAUUGCAAACUCGUGCCUACUAGUGAUGCGGAUAAUCACAUCUGUGUGUUCCAUCAUGACUGGUAGGAGCGGGAUUCAGAGCAAACGGCUUUAGUGUCCGACUCUUCCUUGUGCGAACCUGCAUGAGAAAUGUGCAAGACAGAUCGGGGGCCGGCAGUAAUGUCUGGCUUCCAACACCUCUUUGACUUAGACCUCAAAUGAAGCGAGACAACCCGCUGAACUUAAGCAUAUCAUUAAGCGGAGGAAAAGAAACUAACAAGGAUGCCCUUAGUAACGGCGAGUGAAGCGGGCAAAGCUCAAACUGAAAAUCGGGUCUCCACACGGGGAUUCGAAUUGUAGUCUAUAGACGUAGCGUCAGUAGUGACCCAGGUAUAAAUCUUUUGAAACAAGGUAUCAUAGAGGGUGAGAAUCCCGUCUUUGACUUGGAGUUCACUGCGUACGACCUGCGCUCAAAGAGUCGAGUUGCUUGGGAUUGCAGCUCUAAUUGGGUGGUAAAUUUCAUCUAAAGCUAAAUAACGAUCAGAGACCGAUAGCGAACAAGUACCGUGAGGGAAAGAUGAAAAGAACUUUGAAAAGAGAGUUAAAAAGUACUUGAAAUUGUUAAGAAGGAAGCGCUGGAAACCAGUCGUGCCGGUUGGCGUAUCAGCCUCUCUGUGGGAUGGAUGCAGUAAGCCGAGAGCCUUAAACCUCGGUCUAUGCGGAAGUUUCAUGGUAAGGACGCGCGUCAGCUGGUGAGUCAGAAUCGUUUUGUUUCGCGUGAGAAAGCUUGCGGGAAGGUAGGUUAGCGGGGGCAACUCCAAUGACUGUUAUAGCCUGUGAGUCCUAGCGCGGAGCAGAUCGAGGAUUUCAACACGCACCACUAGGUUCGAUUCCCUGACCCUGAGUUGUUAGCUGCGUUGGAUAGUAAAACUAUGCUCGUAGAGAAGCGAUUUACUGGAAAGGAUGAAUCAGAUGCAGUGUUCGGGAUUCUGACGAAAUGGUUUUCAUCGACCCGUCUUGAAACACGGACCAAGGAGUCUAACAUAUAUGCGAGUAUUUGGGUGGAAAACCCUUAUGCGCAAUGAAAGUGAAGGCGCCCUAGGCGCUGAGGUAGGAACCUGCAUCUUCGGGUGUAGGGGCACUAUCGACCGAUCGUCACUUGUGAUAGAUUUGAGUAUGAGCAUAUCUGUUGGGACCCGAAAGAUGGUGAUCUAUGCCUGAACAGGGCGAAGCCAGGGGAAACUCUGGUGGAGGCUCGUAGCGAUACUGACGUGCAAAUCGUUCGUCUGAUUUGGGUAUAGGGGCGAAAGACUAACCGAACCAUCUAGUAGCUGGUUCCCUC
rnacentral:misc_RNA from 1 species